AGUCUCCCUUUCAGGUAUACCCAGUUCAUCCAUCGCUGGUGAACAGCUACAUGCAUGUGUGUGUGCACAUGCACCUUUGAACAUUUUUGCUGGUUUAUCUCUUUGUAGAGAAAAGAACUAGUAUGUUAUGCUCGUUACUCUUUAACUGUACCUCCCUGGUAUAAUACAAGUAUUCAAGCCAUUUUUACUUGUAUUGACAUUCUGUCUAAACUCCACCCCACAUUUCCUAGCAAAAGCCACAAUUACCUGGUAGCAGCCAGGUAUGUUCCUUCCCACAGUUACCUGGCAACAGCCAGGUAGGUCUGGCCCUAUAAAAGGGGCUGCUUGGCCCCCUCCUCUCUCUCUCUUACCCUCUUAUUUUCUUGCCUCUCUCUUGCUUCUUGCCCCCUUACACCCCAUUCCCUUCAUUCCUCUCUCCACAUGGACAUGGCUGGCCCCUACUUCUCUACUUUCUUCUUCUCUCUGCCUUUCUCUGCUACUCUUUUAAUUCCCCUCCCCAUGUCCUAAAUAAACUCUGUUCUAUAAUAUACUGGUGUGUGUCUGGUCCCUCAGGGGGAAGGAAUGCUUUGGCAUGAGUCUGCUGAGGCACCCCCUUUUCCCACACCCCUCCAGAGCAUAUUCUUACAGCCCUUUAUCUCUUUAAGAUCACAAUAUUGGCACACUGUGACUCAGAUCCAGAAACUCUGUAGGUUUGCCUCCAUUCUCAGCCACAAUCCUGCCUGCUAGCCCAGAUCUGGUAAGUCUCCAUUCCCACUGGUCAGAGUGACCAUCUGCAUGGUCCCAAGGAAGACUUCUUGAUCUCAAAGGUACCCCUAUGCUUUCUCUUGGGUGAGAUUGUCCUGUCCUCUCUCUCUCGUGGCUGAAAAUUCCAGGCCAGGCCUGGAAAACUUCUCUGACUCAGUAGCACCUGCUCUGAGAGUUACAGUUCUUUUCUUGCAGCUGAGAAUUCCAGACAGGGUCUGGAAGGCCCCCGCAUGUCUCUCGGCCUUGGGUCAGUCUGCUAUAGAGGCCUGCUGGUCCAGCUGGCAAGUUUGGCUCUGCCCCUGCCAUGAACCCUGCUUGUUGCCCUCCCCUCUCUCCUUGGCUCUACUCUUCCUGGAAAAGUUAGGUCUGGCCCCUCCCCUUGUAUUCUGCCAGAGGCUCUUACUUCGCCCCCACCUCCCUGCCCACUGUGGGCUACAGCUUCCGACUGCUGACAGGAAAUCCCGCCCCACAGCUUCACAGUCUCUGAGGGUCGUGUGACUUGCGGCAUCUCCCACGUGCACAUGUAACCCAGCCUAAGCCUCUGCCAACCAGACGGACCCAAACCAACCACUCAGUUCCAUAUUUUCUGCUACCAGACUGCAGAAGCCAGCAAACACACACCAGCAUAUUGAUUGGCCUCAGAAGAUGUGGAUGCAGCUACAGGAUGCUGCCUGGAUUGUGAUAUGAUGAUCACUGAAAUAUGCAGUGGAUAAAAACUGGAUACUCUGAGUCAAAUGACUUAGCUAAAAUAAAGGUUCGCCAGAGACAUGUCAACCUCAAUGUCAGCAUGAAGUAGCAAGAUAUCACCGAUGACCCUAUUCCUGCUUCGCCAUCACCUCUUUCUAAUUUUUUUCUUUUUUAAC